UACGUAGGGUGCAAGCGUUGUCCGGAAUUAUUGGGCGUAAAGAGCUCGUAGGCGGUCUGUCGCGUCGGACGUGAAAAUCCAGGGCUCAACCCUGGACCUGCGUUCGAUACGGGCAGACUAGAGUUCGGUAGGGGAGACUGGAAUUCCUGGUGUAGCGGUGAAAUGCGCAGAUAUCAGGAGGAACACCGGUGGCGAAGGCGGGUCUCUGGGCCGAAACUGACGCUGAGGCGCGAAAGCGUGGGGAGCAAACAGG
rnacentral:rRNA from 1 species